GAUGAACGCUGGCGGCGUGCCUAAUACAUGCAAGUCGAGCGAACGGACGAGAAGCUUGCUUCUCUGAUGUUAACGGCGGACGGGUGAGUAACACGUGGAUAACCUACCUAUAAGACUGGGAUAACUUCGGGAAACCGGAGCUAAUACCGGAUAAUAUUUUGAACCGCAUGGUUCAAAAGUGAAAGACGGUCUUGCUGUCACUUAUAGAUGGAUCCGCGCUGCAUUAGCUAGUUGGUAAGGUAACGGCUUACCAAGGCAACGAUGCAUAGCCGACCUGAGAGGGUGAUCGGCCACACUGGAACUGAGACACGGUCCAGACUCCUACGGGAGGCAGCAGUAGGGAAUCUUCCGCAAAGGGCGAAAGCCUGACGGAGCAACGCCGCGUGAGUGAUGAAGGUCUUCGGAUCGUAUAACUCUGUUAUUAGGGAAGAACAUAUGUGUAAGUAACUGUGCACAUCUUGACGGUACCUAAUCAGAAAGCCACGGCUAACUACGUG
rnacentral:rRNA from 1 species